UCCGCGGCCCGGGAUCGCAGCUCGCGGGUGUGCAGGGGGAGGCCUGCGGGCGUGGAGCGGAAAAGCCUUUCCUGAGGGCGGGAAAGUUGAGGUCGCCUCGGGACUGGUGCCUUUAGUCAAAGCGCAUGAAGAUAGCUAACUUCAGGUGCGGACGGAGGGGGAGCCUAAUGAAGAUUCACUCACCUGCAGCUAAUAGGAAGGAAGGUGUGAGUCCCAUAGAACCUGGGCUGUGGUGAGCAAGGUGAAAACCACGACAUGGAAACGCUAGCAAAAUUGGAGUCUUCUUGGAAAUAACUAGGAAUUGAAUCCCACGUCUUUCUGUAAAAACAAAACAAAAACCCGAGGUAUCUACAUAGAGAAAUUGUUGGCUGAGGGAAAAAGACGAGACUGUGAAUCUGGACUGAAGUUGCCACCUAACAGAGCAGAGCUCCUGGCUGCAGUUUGUUUUGGGGUUUGAGGAGGGGAAAAAAACCGGUUUGAGUGCAACCUGAAUGGAUGGCAACUUUCCAAAUUGCAAAUCGAUUCACGAAAAAUCUUCCACAGACUGCUGCACUCAAUUCCCAGGGAUUGUUUCUGAAUCUGAAAAGGAGGCUACAGUCUGCGUGAACGCUUGAGAGGCCAGGACAGGUCUGGUGCCCUGUUGUGGGCUUGCUGGAUGAACUGAAGGCCUUUAAAGAACAUCUCUAGUAAAGAUCCUGCAGACUGACUGACUAGGACAUCGGAAUCGUGGGAGAACAAAUGUAGCCAAGAGCCAAAUGAUCACGAUUUUAGGCCUGUUUAAAAAGUAUAGUGUGUGCGUGCAUGUGUGUGCGUGUGUGUGCGUGUGUGUGCAUGUGCUUUUUAGCUGCUGAGCCAUCUAAGCCAGCCUUGCUUUUAGUAGCCAGCUUUAACUUCUUUUUUUUAAAGAUUCAUUUGUUUUAUGUAUACAAGUGCUCUAUCUGCAUGUACAACUUUCUGUGAGAAGAGGACAUCAGAUCCCACUCCAGAUGACUGUGAGCCACCUGUAGGUGCUGGGAAUUGAACUCAGGUUCUCUGGAAAAGCAGCCAGUGCUCUUAGCCGCUGAGCCAGCUCUCCAGCCCCACUUUAACUUUUAACAUCCUCCUAACUGAUAAACUUCCCGAGAGCACCACAACGUUUAGCUCCAUCAAGCCUACAACUAAGAUGGCUGUGGCAGCACAUCUGAAGUGUGGAAUUUCCCACUUUGCAGGUUUGCUGUGGGGCCCAUCUACUUGAUAUUCCCACAAAUAAAACUGGUCAACAUGGCAAUUUUUUUUAUUUUGGGGCUACUGUUCUCUUCCAGGUAGAACCAGGCAUUUAGGAUGAACUGACUCCUCCUUGUUUCUGGACAAGGCUGUUCUUUCCUAUCAGCAGCUGGGAAGCAAACCCACCGAGGAGAUGGCAUUUUGGCGAGAAGAGUCUAUAUUAAUAUACGAAAAUGACCACAGGCACAGCCGUAAUCUACCGAAUGUUCUCAGUCAGAAAAAAUCCUAGAAUGGUGGCUUUCAGAAUUGUGUCCUGCGCCCAGGACCAAAGUGUGCAUCCUCUCAAGACUUAGCGUCCUGCACUAUUUUUAAAACGCAAAAAAAAAAAAAAAAUUUUUUUUGACGUAUCUUAAGAGUGUCAUGAAACACUUUGUAGUUUCACUUCCUGUUUGGCUCCCUGCUCUGCUAUGGUGGGCUUGUCUGGCUUUCGCUCCAGCAACACCGCUGCCUGAGAGGACAGACUUGAAAAGCCCAAAAUGGCUGGCUAUCCCCAGCUAGCAAUGGGCAGAGGGGAAGCUGGAGUUUGGAAUGAACUGCAUGGAUUUAAAAAGAACUCUAGGAAACCAGGCGGUGGUGGUGCACGCCUUAAUCCCAGCACUCAGGAGGCAGAGGCAGGUCUCUGUGAGUUCCAGGCCAGCCUGAUUUACAGAGCUCCAGGACAGGCUCCAAAGCUUCAUAGAGAACCCCCGUCUUGGAAGGGGAAAAAAAAAAGAGCUCCAGACCAGGAAUGGUAGCUCACACCUUUAAACUGGUCUACAUUAGUGAAUUUGUGGUCAGCCAGGGCUAUAUAGUGAGAUUUUGUUUUUUGUUUUAUUAAGAUGAAACAAAAAUAUCAGAGCUGAGUAUGAUAGUAUAUGAAUCCUAGCACUUGGGAGAUUGAGACGGAGGAAUAUUUUGAGCUGAGGACAAUCAAUCUAUGCUAUCUAGUAAGACUACUUAAAACAAAAACAAACCAAAACCAGAAAAAGGACUAGGCAGGCCAAUGGCAGUUGUCCAAGCUCAGCCUCCAGAGGCUGGGAUCACAAGCCUGCGUUUCCUUACAAAUUUUGGAGAACAUUUCUGAGUGCAAGUGCCCAGCAGGGUUUCUUUGAGUCUCUAAAUAACUGGAGUCAGGUGACUUCUCUGUGCCUUUGAAAAGAGGGUGUGUGGGAAAGAGCAAUUACUCUAGAACAAAGGUGGGGAGCAGAACACAAUUGAAGCGGGUGGUGACUUUGUAUAGGGGUUUUGU